rnacentral:rRNA from 1 species
CAGCCGCCGCGGGAAUACGGAGGGGGCUAGCGUUGUUCGGAAUUACUGGGCGUAAAGCGCACGUAGGCGGCUUGGUAAGUUAGAGGUGAAAGCCCGGAGCUCAACUCCGGAAUUGCCUUUAAGACUGCCGAGCUAGUAGGUGAGAGAGGUAAGUGGAAUUCCGAGUGUAGAGGUGAAAUUCGUAGAUAUUCGGAAGAACACCAGUGGCGAAGGCGGCUUACUGGCUCAUUCUAGACGCUGAGGUGCGAAAGCGUGGGGAGCAAACAGGAUUAGAUACCCCAGUAGUCCCUGUCUCUUAUAC